AUAAAAUUAUGUGUUUUUUUCUUCAGAAAAUUAGGCUUCAUGUUAUCGUUUUUUUCACAUUCAACGUUGACGUCUCCGCUUAUCUUCAUCUGCAAACCUAAUGAUUUCUCAUCUCAUCUCUUUGCCUCCCCUUUCGUUUAGUGUAUUUCUUUUAAUUCAGCAAUAAUUGUUAUUCACAUUAAAUCAAGUAAGGAUGUCGACCUCUCUGUUUCCUUCUUGUCAAAUCUAUAAAUAGGAGAGGGAUGAGAGUAGGAUCGAUGUUCCAUCAUGAUUUGUGUAGGCGAAGAUUGGUGUUAAUGGACGCCCUUCGAACGCACCGUCGGUGAUACGAUUGUGUUAUUUUCAGCUCUGUUUCCGCAUUUUGAUCGGUUGUGUAGUGAUUUUUUUUUGGGAGUGGUGUGUUGUUUGGUGUAGGGGAUUUGAAGAGAACAGUGAUGGGAUUCAAAUCAACACCGUUCUUUCAUAGUCGUAAGAUUCAAGAUCUUAAGAAGUGUCCAUUCUCCUAGAUGUGAUGGUAUUUCUCGGAUACUCGGGAGCAGUUUCGGAUCAAUGGUCAUUGAUGCCUCGAAUUCUGACCAGACCAAGCUUCAGGUCGGAGAUAAAUAACUUAGUUUAACAACUCAGAGAAGAAAGAAAGACUUUUAUUGUUUUCCUCACUGUGGAGAUUUUGGUUUCUUGAUGUAGCUAAGAGAGAAAACUUGGUUUGCUAAUCCUCUAAACUCAAGGCUGAUGUACAUCUGUCAUGCGCCUAGUACUCCUUGAUUACUCUCUGCUGCUUUAGAGGCAGAAAAAGUUUUUUUUUUUUUUUUAAUUCUUUCAUCUGUACGCAGAAACUAGCAGAUUGUUUCAUUAGUGGUCUCUUUUGAUGACAUGUUGAACUUUUUUUUUUGAAUUAUACAGGGGUAUCCUGACCCCACAAAAGUGAUCCAGACUAGUCACAUGUUAUCACGUGUCGGUCCCCUAUCUCUGGCGAUGCUAAAAUGUUUAUUCCCCAGUGGCCGGGACUCGAACUCUGGUGACUUCACCGUACUGGGCUUUUGCCCUCAAAUUAAUCACCAUGAGGCCACAAGUCAUGGUUAUUUGAAUCUGAAAAGUAAUCAGAGGCUUUUGUUUUCAUCCAUGAUUAGUGGAACAGAGAGAAGUGCUGGACUUCUGAAAGGUUAAACCAUGAUUAUGUUUUAAAAUGCUUGAGAUGAUAACUAAAGUAUUUCUUAUUUGUGUGGUAGAUUACAUAGACAAUAAAUAUUUCUGCUUUUAACGUUGCUUUUGGCCAUAUUCUUUUUCAUUCUGAUGAUCUUCAUACCUACAUGUCCAACUCCAACGACCAGGUGGGUUGUCUGAACCGAGAAGCAGCAAAUUCAAGGCCUUGACUUUAGUUAUGGAUUGCCUCCGGUUCAGAUAGAGACGCAGGAUGAUAAUGAGUUCUUCGAUCUGAGUUUCUUGGAUCUGCAAAACUGAGACAAUGGGAUGCAGUGGAUGCAUGUGGAUUUUUUUAUUUGCCUUAAUCCCAUUGUGACUCUUUAUACUUUUUAAUGAUGUAGAGAAUCUCACAAGACUGUCAAAAGGGAACUGUAUAUAGAGAGAUGAUGUUUUAUAUAUAACAAUUUAACAGAUCCAUAAAACUUAGUACACUGUUUGUCUUUC